rnacentral:rRNA from 1 species
UACGUAGGGUGCUAGCGUUGUUCGGAAUUAUUGGGCGUAAAGGGCGCGUAGGCGGUGCCACAAGUCACCUGUGAAAUCUCCGGGCUUAACUCGGAGCCUGCAGGCGAAACUGUGGUGCUGGAGUGUGGGAGAGGUGCGUGGAAUUCCCGGUGUAGCGGUGAAGUGCGUAGAUAUCGGGAGGAACACCUGUGGCGAAAGCGGCGCACUGGACCAUAACUGACGCUGAUGCGCGAAAGCUAGGGGAGCAAACAGG